rnacentral:rRNA from 1 species
GACGAACCGUGCGAACGUUGUUCGGAAUUACUGGGCGUAAAGGGCGCGUAGGCGGUGUGUCAAGUCAGGCGUGAAAGCCCCGGGCUCAACCUGGGAACCGCGCUUGAGACUGGCACGCUCGAGUCCGGGAGAGGAUGGUGGAAUUCCCAGUGUAGAGGUGAAAUUCGUAGAUAUUGGGAAGAACACCGAUGGCGAAGGCAGCCAUCUGGACCGGCACUGACGCUGAGGCGCGAAAGCGUGGGGAGCGAACAGG